rnacentral:rRNA from 1 species
UACGAAGGGGGCUAGCGUUGCUCGGAAUCACUGGGCGUAAAGCGCGCGCAGGCGGCGAUCUACGUCUGGGGUGAAAGCCCGGAGCUCAACUCCGGGACUGCCUUGGAUACGGGAUCGCUUGAGGAUUGGAGAGGCAAGGGGAAUUCCACGUGUAGCGGUGAAAUGCGUAGAGAUGUGGAGGAACACCUGUGGCGAAGGCGCCUUGCUGGCCAAUUACUGACGCUGAGGCGCGAAAGCGUGGGGAGCAAACAGG